GACCCUGGCAAUACGCAGGUGCUUCUCGGAGCUUCUGUCACCCGGAAGAAGCUCUCUGCUCUUCAGAACUGUAGCCCGCUCUGGGAAAAACGGGAGGGGGCAAAGCCAGACGAUGGCUGUCGUGGAAUCUGCCAAGGCAAAGAAACAUGAAUGAUGCAAAGAAAUACACUUGUCAAGCCACCACCACCACCACCCUCCCCCACGCGAUCGUGCCCACGAAAUGAAACAUUCUUCUAAGCGUGGAGAAUACUGAAUUGUACCACAGAUCAAAUCUUAGGGGAAAAAAUUAUCCACGAUUCAUCUGGUGCUGAGUUAUCUCAGUUAUAGUGAAAUAACUGUGUUUAAAACAGAACAGCAACCCCUAAAAGGUCAUCUUCUGCUACACCCAGUGCCCCCUCCCACGUUCUGAUUUUUGCCACAGGCGCCAUCUUUAGCUCUGAGUCACCAGGAAUGGAAAAAUACUAGUCAAGUCACUCCAGGACUCUUGAAUUUUCUGCAGUUGCAGUCACACUAAAACCUGUUGCUUCGUUUGUGUGGUCUGCAGCUGGGGUUCUCUUCUGAAUCUGCUGCCAAGGCCAGUCGGAUCACAACACAAAAGCAGGAACAUCAAAUAUUUGACGGGUGGUUGGAAGGUUCUUACCUAUCCUGUGGAUAG